rnacentral:rRNA from 1 species
UACGUGAGGGGCAAGCGUUGUCCGGAAUCAUUGGGCGUAAAGCGCGUGUAGGCGGUUCAGGUAAGUCCGCAUGUGAAAGUCCAGGGCUCAACCCUGGGAUGCCGGUGGAUACUGCCUGACUAGAGUCCGGAAGGAGGCGAGUGGAAUUCCUGGUGUAGCGGUGAAAUGCGCAGAUAUCAGGAGGAACACCGAUGGCGAAGGCAGCUCGCUGGGACGGUACUGACGCUGAGGCACGAAAGUGUGGGGAGUCAAAACAGG